AUAAAACUUCCCUUGGGUACGUGUGCGCUUGACGAGGGGUGGGCGCAGGAGCCGGUGCUGCGCGGGGGGGCCCGGCGGCUCUCCCCGCCCCCCAAAGUACCGCACCUGCAGGCCGGACUCGGUCAUGUAGAUGCAUUCGUAACGCGGCGGCUAGAAAGCAACUGGAGCUUGGCUCACUGGCGGAUAAGGCCGCGGAGCGACCCAAGAGCAACACGCGGUCAUCGGCGCGGGAUCCGCGUCACCCCGCGGUGGGCGGGCACGCGCUGCAGCUCCCACAGCCCGCCCGCCGCACGCGGCCCGCCCGCGCGCCCGCCUUGGCGCCUCGCCCGCGCGCCGCGCCCCGCGCCCCGUCCCGCCGCCUCCCCUCAGGCCGGGCGGGCGCCGCCUCAGCCCGCGCCGCCCCCGCACAGCUCCCCCCUCACGCCGCCACAGCUGCCGCCCCAGGCAACGCACCCCGGGCGGGGGCCGCCGCGGCCGCCUCCGGAACUGGCCCGUGCGCCCAUCCGCGGGGGGGGGGCGGCAUGGCGGCCCCCGCGCUCCUUUCUCCCUCUCUGUAAUUCCCUUUCGGGGGGCCGAGCGGAGAGGACGGCGCCUGCCAGAGUGAGUGGCCGCGCGUGGGGCCGGGCCUGCCCUCACUCCCUCACCGGGAAAGCGGACUGGGCUGGGCGGUGCAGCGGGCGACGCCUCGCAGCGGGGCCCGGCCGGCAAUUCCCCUGCGGGCGCGUUCCGGCCGCCACCUGUGGGCUUCGGGCGGGCGGGAAAACGGAGGCGGCCACGGCCGGGCACCCGUGCUUCCCAGCCGCUCCCCCCGCCGGGGGCCGGGCACCCGUGCCUCCCAGCCGCAGCCCCGGGAGCGGCGGCGGAGGGGUGGGGGUGAGCCAGCAGCCCCGGCGGGCAGGGGUCGCGGGAGCCCGCCGCAGCGCCGGGCGAGCCGCACGCAGGGCGGGCGGUGCGGGCCGGGCCCCAGGCGGCGUGCGGAGGCAGCGGGGGUAUGUUCUCCCUCGCUGA
rnacentral:lncRNA from 1 species